GGUGGAAAUUUUGCAAACUGCGCAAAAAUACUUUAUUUGUUUUAGGCUGGUUAGCAAUAUUAUAUGCAAAUGAAAAAAAAAAAAAAUCGAUUUUUUUUUUUUUUUCCAUUUUCUAUUCUACAAAAUUUGACCAAAGCAAAUUGUUUUGGGUUAAAAAGAGCAAGGGUUGAGUAAAAGUUGCUUGCUACUUUCCCAUUUGCUUUUGUUUUCGUAGUUUAGUCGUCGUAGAAGAGCUAAAGAAGCAGAUUGAUUGGUGGAGAGAAAGAUGGGGAUAUGGGAUUACAUUUGCAGCUGGACCGAUUCGCUCAAACGAAACGCACCGGAUCUAACCAAAAUCGGCAACGACGCCAACCUUCAAGCCCUGAAGCAGAAUUUGCCGGACGACGAAGGGCGACAGAAGAUCGCCCAAUUCACCACCUGUCUCGCGAAAAACGCCGCUAUCGAAACCAUCAAAUUCGUUCCAGGUGGAGAUUCAGUUCGUAAGGUUGUUACUAAAUCAUACGAGGAGGUGUACAGGUGUGAUGGUCAA